AUGGCUCAGGAUGAACGCUAGCUACAGGCUAACACAUGCAAGUCGAGGGGCAGCAGAUCGAAAGCUUGCUUUGAUGCUGGCGACCGGCGCACGGGUGAGUAACGCGUAUCCAACCUUCCCUGUAGUAGAGAAUAGCCCGGCGAAAGUCGGAUUAAUGCUCUAUGUUGUAUUUCGAAGACAUCUGAAGAAUACCAAAGGUUUACCGCUAUAGGAUGGGGAUGCGUCUGAUUAGGUUGUUGGCGGGGUAACGGCCCACCAAGCCCACGAUCAGUAGGGGUUCUGAGAGGAAGGUCCCCCACAUUGGAACUGAGACACGGUCCAAACUCCUACGGGAGGCAGCAGUGAGGAAUAUUGGUCAAUGGACGGAAGUCUGAACCAGCCAAGUAAGCGUGCAGGAUGACGGCCCUAUGGGUUGUAAACUGCUUUUAUAUAGGGAUAAAGUCGGGGACGUGUCCCCGUUUGUAGGUACUAUAUGAAUAAGGACCGGCUAAUUCCGUGCCAGCAGCCGC
rnacentral:rRNA from 1 species